ensembl:lncRNA
UGGAUGCCUGCAUUCAAGCUUUUCUGUGCACACACAGAAGAAUUGAUCAGUUCAGCCCUGAGACGGCCACAGUUCAGAGGUGUUUCACAACUUGCCGGAGUCUGCUGAUCUCAGAGGAAUGUGUGGACAUCUUGCAAGGCUUUCUGCUGGUAAAGGCUGCCUAUGAGCCCACAGGUGCUCGGGCAUGGUUGGAAUCUGUAGGCACUCCGGGCUGCAGAUGGCUGAGAAAGAAGACCCAUCUGAGCUACUAAGGCAUCAUCCUUUAGGAAGAAGAGCCCACCUACCUAUCUAUGACCUCCAGCUGAGUCUGCUGUGCUCAAUUAGGAGAAAAUGCAGAUUUUAAUCCGCCCCAUGGAGUAGUAACAUCUCACUCCCUGGCCUUGGCAAAGGAGCCAUUUAACUGUUUCUGCCGCAGUUUCGCACACAGCGCAUUAUUCUAAUGUCAGCAGCAUUUCCGUCUGCUCUAGUUUCCCUGGCAGUACUCCCCCAGGCACUGGGAUGUGGACAAUUAAAGCCCACUUUAUCAUUUUGGAACCAAUGAUUUCCUUCCCCUGGUAAAGUCCAUCACUGCACGCCAGCUGCUCUUACCAUCACAGCCAUCCACACUUCUCGAGGCCAUUGCAGUCCCCUGAAAACGAAACAACGGCAACACAACGGCAUCCUUCACCGCGAGCGCGGGAUAAUUAACCUCGUUGCAGGACAGUGCCAUGAAUCUCUGUCACAAACUGUCAGCUGGUGACAUCCUGAGUAUAAGUAAAUAUUUAAACAAACUUGUUCUGAAGCAUUAAAGUAAUAAAGUGACAGACCUCGGAAAGGGAGCACUUGGGGAAAGGGAGAAAAAAAAAGCAGAAAAAGCCAUUUCAAACUUCUGGAAUAGGACCGAAGUAACUGGGAUUCACGCAACUGAAAUGCAAAGUCCGCCAUUCAUCAAGCCAAACAAUGGUCGUUAUACACUCAUAAGCCCCCAAAUCGAAACCCAAGCGGAGCAUGUGUGUUCAGGUGGGACGCUGGAGCUCUCCCAACAACAUUCUGCUGAAUGGUGAAUAAUACUCAGCUCAAGUACACUUUGCUUCCAGACGUAUUCACUGGGAAGCAACAGCAAGAUUCCGAACAGCUGGAGGUUUAAGUAAAAAACAAAAAUAGCUACAGGCUUUAACUCAGAUCCAAAUGGUAUGAAUAAUAAUAAUAAAAAAACAAAAUACCUGGUAACUAUAAAUCUCAUCAACCGAUGUAAAAGAACAUUCUAAAUCUAUUAAUAUUUCCAGAGACAUUAUCUCUCUGCCACCCCACUGCUUUGUGACUUGUUGUAUCAGCGAUAUUGUUUGCCUUAAAGCACGAGCUAAGUGUUUUUCUUCCCCUGCGAGGAGAAUCGUCCACAACCUUCACGAGACACAGCCCACUGCUCCCCGCAGGAGGACCGGCGCAUCAUUAACGACGGAAGGCACUUCAGGCACAAGGCGAGGCUCCAGCGUCUCCGAGCUCGCCGUCUCCCAUCAAAAUUCAUAUCCUGUCACUAUUCGAGGAGCAGAAAGGCUUCUCAUUACAGCAUCAUUCCCCUCUUGCAAGAAACACUGAUUGCUGCACUGGUGGCUUUGGAAGGCAAAGAUGUAAUUUAGCAAAAUAAUGUACCAUGCUGAUUAAUUUAAUGUAGCCCAUGACUAAUUAUGGUAAUUCAUUACAUCUACAAUUAGGCUAAGUAAUUUAUUGCACUGCAGUCUCAUAAAGCGGAGGAUUUAUAUCGAGUUUUGAAUGUCACCCAAAGGACAUUUCUGUACCUUGUCUUUACUGAGGCGGAAUCAGGCUGCCAGCUGAGAGGAGCCCCAACCAGGGGAGGGGGAGCCCCGCACCCUUGCCAUGCCAUGCCGGCGUUGUGGCAGCGGCAGGACGCAGCCUCCUCCUCCACCCGCCUGGCAUUGCCUCCCCAUCCCUUCUGACCCGACACCUGAUCCACCAACUGGCGGACCCAGGCCACGGCAUGGAGGUGACCAGGAGAGAUGAAACACACCGAAAGGAAAGGGGGGUGGGGGGAAAAAAAGCCAAAGCCAAGCCACCAAAAAAAGAAAAAAAGAAAAAAGAAAGAAAAGAAAACCCACUCUGGCUCUUAUUGUCUGCGGAUUUCUCUGCAGAGCACGCUGCAGCCUCUUCCAACAAAGGCUUCUGCUCGCCUUGCAGGGAGGAAGGGGCCAUCUCCCUCCACUCGGAGCACGUAGCACGAUGGUGAAAUACAGCCGCGCCGUACCCUGCAGCAGGGUCUGCUCCAGCACGGCUGCACUUCGGAGACCAAUUUGUUUAGCUGAUCACUGUCUCUUUGACGUGGCUGCAAAUGUUACCUUUCUUUUUCAAUCAAAAACACAGCAGGGUGUGCCAUCUGUUUGGCACAGCCCUCGCUCCCUUCCCCGAUGCCUUUUUGUGCAGAUCAUUUUGCGUGGCAAUUUGCACGGAUCUUUUAUACCUCGGUUUCGGGAAGCAUUUCACCCUGCUCUUUUGAAAUACCGCAUCACUGCGCUGGGCAUCUUCUGGGUUAAAAGAAAAAAGAUGAAAAGAGGUGUGAACACGAGCAGUGAAAUACAACAAGAAGUACUUUAAAAAUAUCUUUUCGGAGCGAAUGGCCGCUGUCGUGACAGUGAUUAUUGAAAACAGACGUGUUUACCAGGACUGGAUCGCGCAUUUACACGUCCCGUGCCACUGUCCUUCUCAUAUUUUACCUGGCAGGCACAGCUAAUCAGAAGAUUAAUUUAACCAUGUGAAAGACCUUUUUAAAGCAGGUUAACAAAAAAAUAGCCACCGUAUUAAAUUGUCAUUAUAUAACAAAAGCUCGCAGCAAAGCAGUUAACUGUUUUUUGCCCAGCUCAGAUGCUGCUCGGAGCCGUGGAACCCCCCAAAGCAAGAACAGAUGAUCAGCACCGCGCGCUGGAGCCACGGGGAUGCUCGCGGAGUCCUGAACGCUUCGUGGCAUACAAAUGAAUGAUCCUCAUUCUUCUCCUGCCCCAGCAUAUAGGCCAGACCUCAUUAGGAUUCAAUAUCGCUCGGCUUUUCUGAUGUUAAUGUUCCACUUACAUAAGAUAUGCAAGAAGGGGGGACGUAUGGGAAAGGGGGGCAUGCCGCAAUUAUGGUCGACACGAUGCCGUAAUCCUGAAAGCAGAACUUCAUAUUUUUGAGAAAAUUACUCCAUUUUCCUAUUUGCUCUCGCAGCCCUAAUGCAGCAUUAUGUCCGUUCCUCCCUCUAACAAGCGGGUUUUAAUCGCGUGCCUACCCUGCAGUUACAGCAGGUAAAAUAACAGGUUUUAUAGCCCUUUUAUUUGGGGGGAAAAAUAAAAGAUGCCGUGACUAAACAUCAGCUCCGAGUCCAUUUUACUGUGAAAGGAAACACUGCACUUUACGUUAUAAAACUACUGUAGGACUUAUCGCCAUCCAGGAAUAACCCCAGCAUUAGGCUGUGUCCUUUUGUCUGGAGAGCAGAGAGCGCGUAAUGGAAACAGAACCCAGCACGGCACAAACAUACAAUUUAUACCUUUUUAUCAAGCAAAGACGAAAGUUGGUUAACGUUUGAAAAGGGAGCAGUAAUGUAUAUUUAUUGACAAUUUUAUUGUAAUAAUUAGAUGUUUACACAGUCUGGACAUUGUGGCUAAAUCACUUCCAGCAUGUUUAUUUGUAAAGGGCUGUUUUCAGGGCAGUGCAGGAGGCUCAUUAAGAAGACAGACUGCAUUAAGAUUCAAAGA